UCUAAUUGUAAAUUACAUUGGUUCUUAAUCUCGUAAGAAAAUUAAAUAAAUAACAGAGUUGUAGGAAAUGCAUCACUGUGCAUGUGGGUAUCACAGGAUGUCCUUCUUAUGCAGACCUCUGGGAGAAAUUCUAAAUUCAGUAUCAAGGAUAAGUGUGUAUUUUGAACAACUGUUAUGUUUCAGAACUGACAGGUUGGUUCCUCGGGAGGCAGAAUCAUGGCUGUUCUUAAAGCACCACGUACACACCUGCUUCGCGCCCCUCUGAACCUCCUCCUACCCCCGUGGGGACGACAUCUUCCACUCGCCUCUGAUGCUGCCCUGCAAGCUACUGUAGAUCCUGUCUGGAAUGAGGCAUGGUUUGCUUCAGGUCCAACUCCAGAAAGACCUCCCAUCACUGACUCUUCAGGAGAGAAGCCAGUUACUGCUGCUGAAGAGCCGGCUGGUUAGCCUAAGGCUCACGUUGUAUCUCGAUCUGGACACAACACAUUUGCGACAGAGCCACUAAGGUGAUGCUUCAGUGCCAUGGGUCUGCCUGUCCAACCCACCAACAUUCGGGCUGCUCUCCCUCCUCCCACCUGGCGCUUCCACGCCU